UGCCGUGAGAUGUUGGGUUAAGUCCCGCAACGAGCGCAACCCUUAUUGUUAGUUGCCAUCAUUCAGUUGGGCACUCUAGCGAGACUGCCGGUAAUAAACCGGAGGAAGGUGGGGAUGACGUCAAAUCAUCAUGCCCCUUAUGACCUGGGCUACACACGUGCUACAAUGGCUGGUACAACGAGUCGCAAGUCGGGGACGGCAAGGUAAUGUAUUAAAGCCAGUCUCAGUUCGGAUUGUAGGCUGCAACUCGCCUACAUGAAGUCGGAAUCGGUGGUAAUCGCGGAUCAGCACGCCGCGGUGAAUACGUUGCCGGGCCUUGUACCCACCGCCCGUCACACCACGAGAGUUUGUAACACCCGAAGUCGGUGAGGUAACCUUUAGGAGCCAGCCGCCUAAAGGUGGAAAUGAAGGGG
rnacentral:rRNA from 1 species